UCCUGGCUCAGGAUGAACGCUAGCGGCAGGCCUAAUACAUGCAAGUCGGACGGGAUNGNNGAGCUUGCUNNNNNUGAGAGUGGCGCACGGGUGCGUAACACGUAUGUAACCUACCUUAGUCAGGGGGAUAGCCUCUCGAAAGAGAGAUUAAGACCGCAUAACAUUAUACUGUGGCAUCGCAGGAUAAUCAAAUAUUUAUAGGACUAAGAUGGGCAUGCGCAACAUUAGCUAGUUGGUGUGGUAACGGCAUACCAAGGCAACGAUGUUUAGGGGAUCUGAGAGGAUGACCCCCCACACUGGUACUGAGACACGGACCAGACUCCUACGGGAGGCAGCAGUAAGGAAUAUUGGUCAAUGGACGGAAGUCUGAACCAGCCAUGCCGCGUGCAGGAAGACGGCCCUACGGGUUGUAAACUGCUUUUGCAGGGGAAUAAACCUUCUUUCGUGAAAGAAGCUGAAUGUACUCUGAGAAUAAGGAUCGGCUAACUCCGUGCCAGCAGCCGCGGUAAUACGGAGGAUCCGAGCGUUAUCCGGAUUUAUUGGGUUUAAAGGGUGCGUAGGCGGCUUUUUAAGUCAGGGGUGAAAGACGGUAGCUUAACUAUCGCAGUGCCCUUGAUACUGAAGAGCUUGAAUGUAGUUGAGGUAGGCGGAAUGUGACAAGUAGCGGUGAAAUGCAUAGAUAUGUCACAGAACACCAAUUGCGAAGGCAGCUUACUAAGCUAUGAUUGACGCUGAGGCACGAAAGCGUGGGGAUCAAACAGGAUUAGAUACCCUGGUAGUCCACGCCCUAAACGAUGAACACUCGAUGUUGGCGAUAUACAGUCAGCGUCUAAGCGA
rnacentral:rRNA from 1 species